rnacentral:rRNA from 1 species
GACGAACGCUGGCGGCGUGCUUAACACAUGCAAGUCGAACGAGAGGACAAGAGAAGCUUGCUUCUUUUGGAAUCGAGUGGCAAACGGGUGAGUAACACGUAAACAACCUGCCUUCAGGAUGGGGGACAACAGACGGAAACGACUGCUAAUACCGAAUACGCUUGGGAGACCGCAUGAUCUUCCAAGGAAAGGGUGGCCUCUACUUGUAAGCUAUCGCCUGAAGAGGGGUUUGCGUCUGAUUAGGCAGUUGGUGAGGUAACGGCCCACCAAACCUACGAUCAGUAGCCGGUCUGAGAGGAUGAACGGCCACACUGGAACUGAGACACGGUCCAGACUCCUACGGGAGGCAGCAGUGGGGAAUAUUGCACAAUGGGGGAAACCCUGAUGCAGCGACGCCGCGUGAGUGAUGAAGUAUUUCGGUAUGUAAAACUCUAUCAGCAGGGAAGAUAAUGACGGUACCUGACUAAGAGCACGGC